rnacentral:rRNA from 1 species
GUCGAGAAUCAUUCACAAUGGGGGAAACCCUGAUGGUGUGACGCCGCGUGGAGGAUGACGGUCUUCGGAUUGUAAACUCCUGUCAUCCGGGAGUAAGACCUGGCUGUGAAUAGCAGACAGGGUUGAUAGUACCGGAAGAGGAAGGGACGGCUAACUUCGUGCCAGCAGCCGCGGUAAUACGAAGGUCCCGAGCGUUGUUCGGAAUCACUGGGCGUAAAGGGAGCGUAGGCGGCGUGGUAAGUCAGAUGUGAAAUCCCGGGGCUCAACCCCGGAACUGCAUCCGAUACUGCCGUGCUAGAGGAUUGGAGAGGUAGCUGGAAUUCUUGGUGUAGCAGUGAAAUGCGUGGAGAUCAAGAGGAACACUCGUGGCGAAAGCGAGCUACUGGACAAUAUCUGACGCUGAGGCUCGAAGGCCAGGGUAGCGAAAGGGAUUAGAUACCCUAGUAGUCC